UGGGUGUUAUAUAGUUGUUUGUUUCAAAGGAACUUAAGGAUUCCAUAGGAGAAGGAGGUGUGGAUCGUGAAAAGGUACAACACAUUCGUAAGAUCUACCAUUUUUAAAAAUCGUCACUGGGGUUGUGUGGUGAAAGAUUGUCCUAGUUGUUUUGGAAGGAGGUAUAUUUUCUUGAAUCUGUAGCUCCAACCUAGACCAAAGCCCCAAUUGGGAAUUUGGAAUGUCUGGAUAUAUUGCUUCUUCAACAUGAAUCUCACCAUCACCUGAGAUGGCACAACUACCACCAACACAAUCUGCACCAUAUCCAACCCAAUCUACAGAAGGAACAGUAGUGCUAGUACCACCUCAAACUGAAGAUGAUAAUGAUGACUCAAAUAUGCAAGUACUAAAGCUGCUGCCACCAGUACAACACAUUAGGGAUUGAUCCAUAGGAAAAGGGACAUGCCAUUUAAGAUUUUCAUUUCUUGCUUUGAAGUUUGUACUUAAUUUGGUUUCAUUUGUUUCUAAAAGCCUAUGUGAGAUUUCCAUUUCUUGCAUUGUAAUUUGACAUGUCUUGAACUUGAACUCUUGAUUGCUUGUUUGUUUUGUUUGUAUUAGACAUGAUUUGUUGUA